UACGUAGGGUGCAAGCGUUGUCCGGAAUUAUUGGGCGUAAAGAGCUCGUAGGCGGUCUGUCGCGUCUGCUGUGAAAACUCGGGGCUUAACCCCGGCGCCUGGCAGUGGGUACGGGCAGACUAGAGUGCGGUAGGGGAGAAUUGGAAUUCCUGGUGUAGCGGUGGAAUGCGCAGAUAUCAGGAGGAACACCGAUGGCGAAAGGCAAAUCUCUGG
rnacentral:rRNA from 1 species